GAGCCUGUUUCACUACAGUGAAACUUCAAGACUCUGUAUCAUGCCUCUGAGAUUUUUGGAUUAAGCUUUGUUAAAUUAUUUCUAACAUUCCCACUCAUUCCCUGACCCUCCCAACCUCAUUGCUCUGGCCAAUGAUCAUUGCAUAGUUGAAUCUGAACAGCCAAACCACUGACCAUUCCCCCCACUCUCCCACCCCCAUGCACUCUGGGGCCUGUUCUCAAAGGCAAUGAUCUUAUCUGGCAAUUUCCUCCUCUGACACAGUUUCCAUGGCAACUUGUGCCCUCAUAAUCACAGGAAGCCCAUGAGGAAACAUACACAGGGCGGCUCCUUCAAUCCAAUCAUUCCAGCAGUGAGCCAGGGAGCACCCUUUCAAUAGAAUGGCCUUCCACAAACAGAGCCAGCCUGAGAGCAAGUGGAUUCCACCUGCCCACAGGACAGAAGAUUCCACUUUGCCACAGGCAUGCCUGUCAACAGCCAUAUUGAAUGGCAUUUAAACUCAAUGGACAAGCAGGGGUAGAAGCCAUGAGACUACAGAUUAUUUUUAACACUAGGACCUGGAAUGAGGGUAAAAACAAAUUUCCACUCAUUGCCCCAGCUCUAAUAGAUAAUUCCUUUCCAUUAAUUAGGCUUAGGAAUUGGACUCAAUGAUUUCUCCAGGACAAGUAAUGGACCCAUUUGAACCUGGAGACAGUGGUCUGGGAAAAUACUCUAUUUCUACCUAUCUCAUCAGAAAAAAAAAUCUUUCCAUGCAACAAACACAGUGAUAUUCACAUAGAAGCUAAACCAGAAAUUCAAAAAGGAUAAUUACAACUCAACGUAUUCAUGCAUACAAAAUCCACAUGCAGAUAGCAAUAAAGUAGAUGUCAAGAAAA